rnacentral:rRNA from 1 species
ACGAACGCUGGCGGCGUGCCUAAUACAUGCAAGUCGAACGGUCUUUCUAUGGAAGCUUGCUUCCACUGAGAAGAUAGUGGCGAACGGGUGAGUAACACGUGGGUAACCUGCCCAUAAGAGGGGGAUAACAUCCGGAAACGGGUGCUAAUACCGCAUAGUUUUCUUGAUCACAUGAUUGAGAAAGGAAAGACGGCCUUUGUGCUGUCGCUUAUGGAUGGACCCGCGGCGUAUUAGUUAGUUGGUGAGGUAACGGCUCACCAAGACGAUGAUACGUAGCCGACCUGAGAGGGUGAUCGGCCACAUUGGGACUGAGACACGGCCCAAACUCCUACGGGAGGCAGCAGUAGGGAAUCUUCCGCAAUGGACGAAAGUCUGACGGAGCAACGCCGCGUGAGUGAAGAAGGUUUUUCCGGAUCGUAAAACUCUGUUGUCAGAGAAGAACAAGUUGGAGAGUAACUGCUCCAGCCUUGACGGUAUCUGACCAGAAAGCCACGGCUAACUACGUGCCAGCCGCAGC